GCCAGGCGUGGUGGCGCGUGCCUGUAAUCCCAGCUACUCGGGAGGCUGAGGCAGGGGAAUCACUUGAACCUGGGAGGCAGAGAUUGCAGUGAGCCGAGAGAUCACGCCACUGCACUCCAGCCUGGCAACAGAGGGAGACUCCAUCUCAAAAAAAAAGAAGCUUAGGUUAUUGAUUUCUGAUCUUUCUUCUUUUCUAUUUAUUUAUUUUUGAGGUGGAGUCUCACUCUUGUCGCCCAGGUUGGAGUGCAGUGGCGCAAUCUGGGCUCACUGCAACCUCUGCCUCCUGGGUUCAAGGGAGUCUCCUGCCUCAG
rnacentral:SRP_RNA from 1 species